rnacentral:rRNA from 1 species
AUUGAACGCUGGCGGCAUGCUUUACACAUGCAAGUCGAACGGUAACAGGGUGCUUGCACCGCUGACGAGUGGCGAACGGAUGAGUAAUGCGUCGGAACGUGCCGAGUAGUGGGGGAUAACGCAGCGAAAGUUGUGCUAAUACCGCAUACGUACUGAGGUAGAAAGUGGGGGACCUUCGGGCCUCACGCUAUCCGAGCGGCCGACGUCUGAUUAGCUAGUAGGUGAGGUAAAGGCUCACCUAGGCGACGAUCAGUAGCGGGUCUGAGAGGAUGAUCCGCCACACUGGGACUGAGACACGGCCCAGACUCCUACGGGAGGCAGCAGUGGGGAAUUUUGGACAAUGGGCGAAAGCCUGAUCCAGCCAUGCCGCGUGUCUGAAGAAGGCCUUCGGGUUGUAAAGGACUUUUGUCAGGGAGGAAAUCCCUAGUGCUAAUAACACUGGGGGAUGACAGUACCUGAAGAAUAAGCACCGGCUAACUACGUGCCAGCCGCCGCAGUAAGAC